AUAAACUUUAUAAAGAGAAGAGUAUCCGAGGGAUAUGAUAACAGAGAGCUUCGUUUGGUGAAAGAAGUGGAUUUGAAAUCGGAGAACAUGGUCUUUUUUUAGAAGGUGUCGAAUAUUUUAGGCAUCUGCGGGAUUGCCCGUUACAGCAAUAGAGUAUGGUAGUACUUGAAGAGGUUAUUAUCGUGAGGUAAUAAUAAAUAAAGGUGGUAACACGUGAGUUCGCUUUCGUCCUUAGA
rnacentral:ncRNA from 1 species